GAUGAAGAACGUAGCGAAAUGCGAUAAGUAAUGUGAAUUGCAGAAUUCAGUGAAUCAUCGAAUCUUUGAACGCACAUUGCGCCCCCUGGUAUUCCGGGGGGCAUGCCUGUUCGAGCGUCAUUUCACCACUCAAGCCUCGCUUGGUAUUGGGCAACGCGGUCCGCCGCGUGCCUCAAAUCGACCGGCUGGGUCUUCUGUCCCCUAAGCGUUGUGGAAACUAUUCGCUAAAGGGUGUUCGGGAGGCUACGCCGUAAAACAACCCCAUUUCUAAGGUUGACCUCGGAUCAGGUAGGGAUACCCGCUGAACUUAAGCAUAUCAAUAAGCGGAGGGA
rnacentral:misc_RNA from 1 species